rnacentral:rRNA from 1 species
UACGGGGGGAGCAAGCGUUGUUCGGAUUUACUGGGCGUAAAGGGCGGGUAGGCGGCCACCGCAGGUCGACUGUGAAAUCUCCGGGCUUAACCCGGAAAGGUCAGCCGAUACUGUGGGGCUAGAGUGCAGAAGGGGCAACUGGAAUUCUCGGUGUAGCGGUGAAAUGCGUAGAUAUCGAGAGGAACACCUGCGGCGAAGGCGGGUUGCUGGGCUGACACUGACGCUGAACUGCGAAAGCUAGGGGAGCGAACGGG